UCAAGCCCAUAUGCUGGAAGAAAAGAUUUAUCGAUGGAUUUGCUCAGCAGAUCCAAGAAACACAUGGUGUAUGUUUUCUUCAAAUCGAACACUGAAUUUCAUUAACCUGUGCUAUUGGCUCCCCUCUUCUCUUAACAGAUUGCUUCUUUUUUCUACUCUUUUUGACUUUUUUGUUUUUUAUACCAUAGUAACCUGUUUACUAAAUUAAACUCUUUGUGAUAUAUAAGUACAAAGACCACACUUAGGUCAUGUUAAGAAGAGGGAGUUCAAUUACUUAAGAAUACAUGUAGACUGGAAACAACCACAAAGUUUGAGGAGCUGGAGCAAACUAGGGACCAGAGGACACUACCUCACUGUUCAGCCAAGCAACACAGAAAGCAUGGUUCCCAGCCACGAUGUCCAGAUCCAGACUUUGACAUUCUUCUCUCACGGAAUGAGUCUGCAUCUUCAGCCAGCACCCAGUACCAGUAACAGGCUUAUCUCACACUGAUCAGUGCCCACAGUUUGCUGAAUGUAGACAGUCAUCAGGUUUUUCUCCAGUCAGCUGAGCUCCUACCAGUGGAGGAGAUUCUUGUGCACAACGCAGCAGCAUCAGUUGCUCAGAGAGGGGAGCAACCCUAGGGUUCCAGCUCUGACUCUGGGAGGUUGGAGGCAUCUGCAUCACCCUGAGGCACUAGGCUCUCCCUAGAGAAUUCUGCGUUAGGGAUGACUGCUGACACUUAGGAAUGUGUCGUGCAAUGAGAGGAGGGGUUGAAAAAUAUACACCAAGAUUCAAAUCUGCAACAAAAUGUGGUUUCUUUAUUUUCUAAAACUGAUCUCAUCCUGCCUUGGAACCCCUGUUUUUGCUGAUGGCAGAAAAAUAAUUGCACUUGCCAGUUAUAUAUAAAUUAUUCUCUUAAAAUUCUAAUUUAUUACAAGUGUUAAUUUUUACUUUCAAGAUUUUUACUCCUUUUUUCUUGCUCAAACUGGCAUCUGGAUUUAAAAGGAAGCUAAUGUAUCCUUAGAGUUUUGGAGGAGGACAGUCUCUUUCUCACUAGUCUUUGAUGAGUUGCAUUCAUUUUGCCUUUUUCUUUGGAGGGCUGUGCAUUGAGAGGACUGAUAAAAAAAGAAAGUAAAUGAACUGGGAUUUUCUUAGAACAAUAGCUUAGAUGACUAUAUACUUUAUUUUCAAAACUAUUUUUAAGAGUAAAAGGGAGUACAUCAUUAAUUAGCUCAAAACAAUGGGCAUUAGCCAGGAGUGUCCCAGUCAGACUAGAAUAUAUCGUUAUCCUCUAAUGCCACAGAAGUUAUGCUCUGAGAGGUGGUCAACACCAGCAAGAAAAAGAUUUCAUCUAUAAGAUGCUCUAAAGCUUAAGAAACAUGAUACCCACUCUUAGUAUGCUUAAUAAUGCCUUGCAGUUUCUCUAAAAUGGAGCUAGGAGGAGUGCAGAUUAGAUACUGUGGAGGAAAAGAUUAAUGAACUUUAAGGCAUAGCAAUAGAAACAAUCCAAAAUUAAACACAGAGAGAAAAAUAACUUAAAAAAUAUAUAGAGUGAGCAAAGAAGAGCUAUGAGCAAUCUUCAAGCAGCUUAAUAUGCACAUAAUUGGGAGUGCUUGAAGGAGGAAAGACAAAAAAAAAAUUGAAGAAAUAAUGCCUGAAAAUUGUCAAAUUUGGUGAGAACUGUAAAUGUACAGGUCCAAGAAAUUCAAACCAAACUACAAAAAAAAUUUUAAGAGUCAGAGAGAAAAAGAAACCUUUCCUACCAAGGAACAAAGAUAAAAAUGAUACCAGAUUUUUAAUGAAAUAAUACAAGUGAGGAUAUACAGUGAAAUGUCUUUCAAGUACUGAAAGAAAAAAAACCUGUCAAUUUAGAAUUCUAUACCUAAUCAAAGUAGUUUUCAAAAACUGAGGGCAGAAUGCUUCCUAAGACAUAAAAAAAAGCUUAAAGACUUCAUCACCAAUAGACCUACAUUAUAUACAAUUUUAAAGGGAGUCUCUAAGCAAGAAAGAAAAUAACAGUAGUAGGAAUAUGAAUAUACACAAAUGAAGAGCACCAGGAAAUUGCAAAUAUAUAUGGGCAAAUUUGUACAUUUUUUUCUUUUUUCUUUUUUUUUUGUUAGUUGGUCAAUGGAUGGUUAGAUUU